rnacentral:rRNA from 1 species
GGCUGGCGGGAGGCCUACUCAUGCAGUCGAGAGCGGAUGACGGGAGCUUGCUCCUUGAUUCAGCGGCGGACGGGUGAGUAAUGCCUAGGAAUCUGCCUGGUAGUGGGGGACAACGUUUCGAAAGGAACGCUAAUACCGCAUACGUCCUACGGGAGAAAGCAGGGGACCUUCGGGCCUUGCGCUAUCAGAUGAGCCUAGGUCGGAUUAGCUUGUUGGUGAGGUAAUGGCUCACCAAGGCGACGAUCCGUAACUGGUCUGAGAGGAUGAUCAGUCACACUGGAACUGAGACACGGUCCAGACUCCUACGGGAGGCAGCAGUGGGGAAUAUUGGACAAUGGGCGAAAGCCUGAUCCAGCCAUGCCGCGUGUGUGAAGAAGGUCUUCGGAUUGUAAAGCACUUUAAGUUGGGAGGAAGGGUUGUAGAUUAAUACUCUGCAAUUUUGACGUUACCGACAGAAUAAGCACCGGCUAACUCUGUGCCAGCAGCCGCGGUAAUACAGAGGGUGCAAGCGUUAAUCGGAAUUACUGGGCGUAAAGCGCGCGUAGGUGGUUUGUUAAGUUGGAUGUGAAAGCCCCGGGCUCAACCUGGGAACUGCAUCCAAAACUGGCAAGCUAGAGUACGGUAGAGGGUGGUGGAAUUUCCUGUGUAGCGGUGAAAUGCGUAGAUAUAGGAAGGAA